rnacentral:lncRNA from 1 species
UUUUUUUUUUUUUUUUUUUUUCAUAAUUGGCAGGUACUAAGACAUUUCCAUUAUUGGCACAAACAAACAAACAAACAAAUCCACGGCAGAUCAACUCAGCAGCAGCAGCAGCUCCAGGUGUGGACUCCAGAUGACAACACUAGCUACGGGCAGUGGUGCCUCUGUAUGCAGCUGACAAAAUGCAGCCUGCAGACUCAGCAGAAAUGGAGGCAGAAACCAUCAUUAUCCACUCAGAUCCUAACAGGGGGCUGGCCCUCACUGUGCUGUGCUGGAUAUGCACAUUGAGUUAAAGAAAGACCCCAAAGAACUCAUCCACAGCAUGCAAGGAUGGACAAAACUGGCAGGGAGAGGAGGAGGGAAGGAGGAAAGGCAGAGUGCCUGCCAGAUGUCUCACUGUGCUUCAGUGUUUGCUCUGCUGGGAAGCAGGAGAGGGGCAGGUUGGUGUGAAGGCCUGUGAAGGAGCUGUAUUGUGGCCUAAGGAAGAAGUACAGACAGCAAAAAAACCUCAAUUGCAUUUGAAAUAGUCUCCACACACUUUCUAAUUCUGUAUUCAUAGUGUUGCUGGAUACUGCAUGUCUCCUACUUGUCAGAGCCGGGCAGUGGGAAGCUGUGAACCCUCUCUCCUUCCUCACACAGCCUUUGCACUGCAGUGAUGGAUUGGAUGUUGUUAUUAACUCUCCUGCACCCCACACAGUCAAAAGCUGAGCAUUGGGACUGCUAGCUUACUGGGACCAGCAGUGUGGUGCCCAUGCUUGCAGCUACUCAGCUAUCCUAUAGGUACAUUCCCCCCCCAAAAAAAAGCACAAUACAAACACCCUGCUUCCCUCAUUCUUCAUUAAACACUGCCUGGUGUUGCCCAAGACAAGCAGUGUUUAAAACCUCUACAGUGGAAAUGAUGCUGCCAGCAAGUUCAAGUGACAAAACCCCACUGGGAAGCUCAGCAACUUGUGCAUGGCCAGCACACCAGGGCUCCUUCCCAAAACUGCAGUUAUCCCCACCUAGUGCAGAAGAGGUUCUUUGUGCUCCCAGCUCAGGCAGAAGUGCCACUACUGCACUGCACUGCACAGCCAGGUUUGUUAGCCAGAUACUCAUCCCAUGUGAGAUGAUAUGCCACUGAGAUGAGCUCAGGAAGGGCUAUUGCCAGCAAGCUGUAGCCUUAGGAAAGCAAGGUGGGAGCCAUUCCUUUCUCACACUGCAGCCCAGUUACUACCCCCAGACCUUGCCACCCCACGCAGCCAUUCCAUGACUCAUUUUUCCAGGAGUGCAAUGCAGAUGAUGGUGUUUGCAGUCUCAGCUUGGGCUACAAGCCUCUUUGAUCUGCUGUUCAUAAGACUGAUAUACAAGGCAGUCUCCCUCCUCUUUCUUGCACCUGAAGUUUUGUAUCCGGCCCUGGAGUUAUCCAGUGCUUUGAGAAAAUACAAUGUGCUCCAAAGCUAUCCCAAAGCAAGAUAUCAAUAGAUAGCAAUUCUCAAUGAAACUGAAAGUUAAGACUUCUUUAUCUUUGACUUGAUCAAAACCCAAUAUAUAUUUAACUAUUUUUCCCUUAAAGCCUCUCACCAGGGAUGUGAAAUCCUUCUGAAAGACAUUUCCAGAUCAAAAGAGGUUGUUUAGAAUAAAAAUAUGUCUCUCUUCACCACUGCACACCGAUGCCAUUUUACUGCAAACCUUUGUGUUUAAUGCCAAAACAUAUAGCUUGCUAAAGGUCAAAAAAAGUGACAAAAAAACUCAAACUAAAUAAAUAAGGAGGUGAAAAUUUCGACGUACAUUUGCUCAGAAUGUACCUCUCAAUGUGUGGACAUGAUUCUACACCUCAGUCCUGCUAUAUCUUUCAAAGACAAGGACAGAAAAGCCAUUAGAGAAAUGUGUUUCCUCUUCAUGAACAUUAAUGAAUUAAAGGAUGUUCCUGGCCCAAGACAUCUAAUAUCACUGAAGCACUUUCAGUGUUCCUUCUUGUCUCAGAGUACUCCCUUGCAGGACUGUUGAGCAUUCAGAAGAGAUCAACAGGUGGUGCCUGGUCUGAGAGACUUUGAUCUCUGUAUUUCAAUCCUCCAGUUUUUCAACUCCUUCCUUCUCCUCAGCUUCCUGAGGAGAAUUAUGAAAACUAGAGGAACUAUACUUCCCUCUAGAGCUGAAUUCUGACACUUCUUCCCCAAAAGAUUUUCCCCUCCUUUGGAUGGGGGAAAGACAGGAGAUUAUCACAGAAUAUGCUGAGUUGGAAGGGACCCACAAGGAUCGUUAGACUCCAACUCUGCCUUGCACAGGACCACUCCCAAGAGACACACCCUGUGCCUGAGAGCUUUGUCCAAACACUUCUUGAACUCUGUCAGGCUUGGGGCUGUGAACACUUCCCUGGAAUCUCGUUCCAGUCCAUUUUCUCAUGUCCUGUCACUGGUCACCUCAGAGAUCAGUGUCUGCUCCUCCUUUUCCCCUCAUGAGGAUGUUGUAGACUGCAAUGAGGUCUUCUCUCAAGUCUCCUCUUCCAGGUGCUUUUCAGUACCUCCCAAAGUAAUCUUCUUCAUAACUUUAUCACACACUGAAGUGAGACUAACAGCUCUGCCAUUACCAUGAUUCUCCUUUUUUGCCCUUCUUGAAAAUCGGGACAAUGUUUGCCACCUUCCAGCCAGCCAGGACCUCUCUGCAUUCCCAAUACUGCUCGAAAAUCAUUGAGAGAGGUUUUGUGAUGACAUCAGGAACUCUUUGAGGAUUCUUGAAUGAAUUCCAUCAAACCCCAUAGAUUUGCAGAGAUUCAGCUAGAGCAGCAGAUCCUGCAUGACUCCCUCACACUUACUUGGAUCCUUGUUGAUCCUUUUGGUGUCACUCAAUCUGCAGACAGAGUUCUAAGAGGAUCUACAUUAUCCAACAUAAUGAUGAAACCAUUUCCAAACUUUAUACUCAUUUCUUCACAUGUGAGUACUGCCAACUUACACCCAUUAAUGCAAAUGGAGAAUGAAGGGACAAGAGUUGUACAAAUAUCUAAGAUACAUCUCUGAAUAUGACAGAAGCAGCACAGACCAGGAUUACUGCAUGGUUCACAGAAUCAUUAAAAAACUUCUGGUGUAUAUAUGAACUUAAAAAUCUUAUAAGAUUUUUCUCAGACCAGCAAUAACAGACCUACCUAACUACUGACAAACAUCAAGAAGACUCCUCAGCCCUUCCAUUUUUGCAAUAAAAGAGAGUUCUUCUCUUUCUUUUUUCUUUUUAAUUAAAUUUUUUGUCUUCUCUUGUUAUCCUGGGCUGCUGCUUUGUGUCUAAAGCAGUUCUGUUCUGGACCAUGGAAACAAUAAAAGACUGUGUACUCCAUGCCCAUGCAAGGUCUCUGAACUGUCAGAGCUCUGAUAAUAAAAGGUAAAAACAAAAAAAUAUACCAAGAUUAGCCUGCUUCUAUUUCAGACUUCAAGAGAGUCUAGAUCAUUAUAAAUGGGGUGGAGAAGGAAAAACAGCUCAGAGCAUAGCAGUAGCUUACCUGUCUGCUGGAGACCUCAAAGCACUUUCUAAUACUAAUGAAUGAGCCUUUCCAGCUCCUUCUGAGAUGAACCAGCACUGGCAUUGCUCAAGAAGGGAUGAGGAAACUGAGGCAUUUGACAGGGAUGCAAUCCAUACACAGCCUGAUCAUGGUAAAGUGCAGAGCCUGAAACAAUGGCCUGUCCUGAGCCAUGGGCCAUCCCUCUCCCCUAAAACGGACUUUUUGAAACCAGAAAAAAUUUACUCCCAACUAAAGCAAGCAAACACCACACACAGGCCAUGAAGAAAUCUACUGAGCCAAUUAACCUCUGUGCAUGAUCACAGCCUCCAGGAAACGGGUACAGGCAGUAGAGCAUUGAAGGAAGGAAAAACAAAACCCUGCACAAAAGUCUUGAGUGGGCCAGCUUCUCUGCACAUGCAUGGCUAAAUUUUCUCUCAGUCCCCUGCUCAUUGAAUGAAAACCACAUAUAACUUACUACUUCACCUCUGGAAUUAUGAAAAUAUUCCCUCCCUCAGCAUGUUUCUUCAGGGAUAAUAAGAAUUAUUAGGGCCAAGGGAAUGUGAGGGAUCUUUUGAGGACAAAUGUUAAUAAAAGGGUGACAAAGUUUGUUUUACAGCUCUUGGAGUACACUCUGAGCUAAGAAUAAAAAAUUACCCUUCCAAAUGGUUGAUUUGACCCUUUUCAGAGGCAUGAUUCUAAAGGGAAAAAAAUAUACUAAAAAAAGGCCACAAAAUAUAUGCAUCAGAUGGUCUACAGCAGUAAUCCUGGCUCCAGCACAUAAAACAUUUGUUCUGCCACUGGACAAAGCGUAAAUCCCAUUCUUCUUUCAAAAAAAAAAAAAAAAGAAAAGAUGAAAAUCUCCUAAAUGAUUCAAUAUUUUAUACCCACUCUGUGUGUACUGCAGCCUUGAAAAAGAUGCCGCAGCAUGACGGGCUUUGGAUACUUUAUCUUGCUGCAGCAACUGAAGAAGAGCAGUUUUAACACUGACAUAAUAGUCAGGCAUGUGUUUGUUUGGUGGUUAUCCACAGCCAGCAUUAGGGUGCUGGGGAAUGUGUUCUUGGCAGUUUUGCAUGUGCGCAGGUUUCAUUCCUAAUGGGCUCUACUCCAUGAACGCAUAUGUUCCAGGCUAUGCCUGGGUGUACUCUGCUCAUGCUGGCCCAGCGGGGGACCAGAGCCGUGUGCAUGCUUGUGGCAUGUGGCUGUGAGCAGGCACACUGCAUGUGUGCACGUGUGUGCACGUGUGUGCACGUGUGUGCACGUGUGCGCACGUGUGUGCCCGUGGGCUGGGCUCUGAGGCUCUGGUUCUGGCUGCGUACAGAGGUGCGCUGCGAGCGCUUUGAUUCUGCAGCGUUUGCUACAGCGUGCUGCCAUUCUUUUCCCAGCUCACCCCGGUGAUAACCACCAAGACACAUCUUCCACUCCUGCCCCACACUAAAGGAUUCACCUUUUCUCUUGCCAGAAAAGUGGCGUUUUAUGCAACAGUGUCUCCUGUACCAGACAAAGAUUGCCCCUACGCUGCACACACCAAGUCCAAGUGCCCCUCAAACACCCCCUACCCAGACUGAACCUCAGUUUAUUCUCCCCUCAGGCCCAGUUCCAGAAAAAAAACACUUUCCUGGGCAUGUGCGUGGACAGCAGCCCCUGCUCUUCAUGCCCUCAGGCACUUGGGUACAGCCUGCAGGAGACAGCACUGACCAAGGGACCACAAGGUGGAUAAUCAACCAAAGAGCCUGCCCUGGGUCAUGCUGAACUAAAUGCUAUUAGCAAGAAACUGCCGGAAGCUGUUGCUAGAUGGCUCUGCUUCAUGGAAGGACUUAACAUCUUCCAUAUUCCCACAUGGACCAUUUCCUUACCAUGCCUUAAGGACAGCCACAGACUCCCUUUGUCAUGACUAGAAAGAUGAAGCUCCGGCCAAAGGAAGCAGCCACGAAACCUCACUCAGAUUAUCAGCUCUGGCAAACAGUGGUACAAGCAGCCCAAGUUUUGAUACGGUGGUAUGAGCUACAACCUUGAGGCAGGCAAAAUAUUCAAACUACAACAUAAAACACCAAAAAAAAAGUAGUUUCUGAUGUGCAAUUCUUGCCUUUUUCUUUUUUCUUUUGUACCUUCUCUACUAUUGCAAAUCCGGUUAUGACUUACGUGUGAUGGUAAUUGUUAAACUGAACUGGGAUCAGAGGAAAUACCUCCCACUCCUGGUCAUCCAGUAAAUCGUACCAAAUCCAUCUUCUGUGUCACAGCACAGAGCAAAGGUCAGCAUUCAGUACAGGAAAAAAGGUGUGCUCUCCUAUGCAGAAAAACAGUCUCUUGUAAUGUACUCUGUUUACUUUAUAAGGCAAAGCAGAGAGGGAAGGGAGGCUGCAGAAGUGGCUUCUGUGAGAAGACAGCAGGACCCGCUCUCAUCUUGGACUGAGCCUGGUUUAGCUGGCUCCAAAAUGCCAUUCCAAACCUGUCACAGUCCAAAGCUGAGUCAACCACUGAUGUAAGCAGUGCCUCUGCAAUAACAUAAUUAAGAAAGAGUGAGAAAUAACUGUUCAGCAUCUGCAAGGGAGGAGAUAAUGUAAGAAAAAAAGCCCUGAACAGACCAAGGUCAUUGAAGAGGGAGGAGAGAAGGUGCUCCAAAUGCAGGAGUGGAUUCCUCUGCAGCCUCAGGAGGACCCACAAUGCAGGAGGUAGAUGGGCCAUGGAGGAAGCUGCAGCCUUUGAAAAGCCUCUGCUGGAGCAGGCUCCUAGCAGGAGCUGUGGCCAUGGAGUGGAGCCUACACAGGAACAAGCUUUCCAUCAGAAGCUACACCCUAUGGGGCAAUCCAUUCCUAAAAAUUGUGCCCCAUGUGAAGAACGCACACUGACAGUUCCUGAAGAAAUGUCUCCUGUAGGAGGGACUGCACGCUGCAGCAACAGAAAAGCACAGGGAGGAACGAGCACCAAAGUGUUAUGGACAGACUGCAACACAUAUUCCCUGUUCCCCUGUGUAGCACGUGGGGGAGGAAGAAGAGCUGGCAGUGAAGCUGAGCCUGGGAAGAAGGGAGGGGUGAGGAAGAUGCUUUUUUUUUUUUUUUUUUGCGCUCUAAUUUAUCACUAUCCUUCUCUGUUAUUAAUUGGCAACAAAUUAAAUUAAUUUUCUCAAGUUUAGUCUGUUGUGCCAGUGACAGUAGUUGUCAAGUUAUCUUCCUUUGUCCUGCUGAGGAGGAGUGAUAGAGCACCUUGGUGGGCAUGCAGCAGCCAGCCAAGGUCAGUUCAUC